UACAUUAACUUUUGGGUUUAAUUUCAACUUCUCUUGAUCAAAUGCUUGUGCCAACUUUAUAAACAGGGUCAACAUGAAAAAAAUCAAGAAUUCAAGAUCAAAAUACCACAAAGUUUGAGCAGCAUCUGCUGGUCCACACACAAUAAAGCCCCAAAGGUUUUUGUUUCCUUGCAGUCCAAUCCAAUUAUACCCAAGACCCAAUUUCUUCACAUCGCCCUUUCAAACCUUUUCUUCUCUUAUCCCUUCUCUUCCUUUCCCCAACAAAUAAUUUCUUCAAAACCUUAAAAGCCUCAGCCUUUUUUUUCACUGCUCAAGUGCCACCAAGCGACUACGUAAAUGGAGCUCACUUGUUUGCAUAACAAAUUCAAUUUGUCUCCUUUACUUCACCUUUCACUUCCAUUCUCCAAGAACCCUAAUCCCAGGAUAGUUUAUAGAAAAAGGAACAAUCUUUGUCUGGCUUCAGCUUCUGAUACCCUUGUGGCUGGUUCAAAGAAGGAACUUUGCAGCAAGAAAGAUGAUGAAUUUGGGGACUUGAGAUCUUGGAUGCAAAAAAAGGGUUUGCCUCAUUGUAGAGUUGUGCUCAAAGAUAGGCCUUCACAUGAUGAGAAGCAUAGGCCUAUACAUUAUGUCGCUGCCAGUGAGGAUCUUCAGGCAGGUGACGUGGCAUUUUCGGUGCCGAAUUCUUUGGUUGUGACGCUUGAGAGAGUGCUGGGAAAUGAGACUGUUGCGGAACUUUUGACAACAAAUAAAUUGUCAGAACUGGCAUGCCUAGCUUUAUACUUAAUGUAUGAGAAGAAACAAGGAAAGAAAUCAUUCUGGUAUCCGUAUAUCGGAGAGCUUGAUCGUCAACGAGGAAGAAGCCAACUAGCUGUGGAAUCUCCACUUCUAUGGUCAGAAGAUGAAUUGGCUUACCUAACAGGUAGCCCCACUAAGGCUGAAGUUCUUGAAAGGGCUGAAGGAAUAAAAAGAGAGUAUAAUGAACUUGACACCGUCUGGUUUAUGGCUGGGUCUCUCUUUCAGCAAUAUCCCUAUGAUAUACCUACUGAGGCCUUUCCAUUUGAGAUUUUCAAACAAGCCUUUGUUGCUGUUCAGUCUUGUGUAGUACAUUUACAGAAAGUCCCUUUGGCUCGGAGAUUUGCAUUGGUUCCUCUUGGACCUCCAUUGCUAGCUUACAGGAGCAAUUGCAAGGCAAUGUUAAGCGCUGUUGAUGGUGCUGUUGAACUAGUGGUUGAUCGCCCAUAUAAGGCUGGGGAAUCUAUUGUUGUCUGGUGUGGACCACAGCCUAAUUCGAAACUGCUUAUUAACUAUGGUUUUGUUGAUGAUGAUAAUUCUUAUGAUCGGCUGGUUGUUGAGGCAGCUUUGAAUACUGAGGAUCCUCAAUAUCAGGACAAGAGAAUGGUUGUUCAAAGAAAUGGAAAACUAUCAGUACAAGUUUUUCAUGUUUAUGCCGGGAAGGAAAAAGAAGCUGUUAUGGAUAUGCUUCCAUAUUUGCGAUUGAGUUAUGUUUCAGAUCCUUCGGAGAUGCUAUCUGUUCUUUCUUCUCAAGGUCCAGUCUGCCCGGUGAGCCCCUGUAUGGAACGAGCAGUGCUAGACCAGCUUGCUGAUUAUUUCAAGAGAUGCCUGGCUGGCUACCCUACUACUCUGAAUGAAGAUGAGUCUUUGUUAUCAGAUCCAAACUUGAAUCCCAGGAGACGAGUUGCCACUCAACUUGUUAGGUUGGAAAAGAAAAUUCUCUAUGCAUGUUUGCAGGCAACAAUUGAUUUGAUUGACCAGUUACCUGAUCACACUGUGUCUCCAUGCCCUGCGCCUUAUGCCCCUUUAUUGAAAUGAAAGUUUGGAUGAACUUUGUUCAGAGUUACCACUCUCCGUUGUAACUUGGCAAAAUCGUAAAAGUUCUUUGCAGUACUUGGGUAACGUCCCUGUCUAUGGGAGAGUAUAUACCAGGAAGAUUUAUGAAGCGGCCACUCCUUCAGACCGGUAUGGAAUGUGGGAAGCUUGUUGCUGGAUCUAUUAAGGCUUUAAGAGAGAGAAUCAGAAUCAUACUUGUUCUUUUCAUUGGAUGACAUGACGUGCCUUUAGCAUAUUGAUUUUUCAACAUACAUUCACUCUUCCUGUUCUUCUUCACAUUCUUCUUCCUGGCACUUUUUCUUUAAUAACCGUCAAGCUCUAGUGUUACAGGUCCUUGUUGGAUCAUCAUCUAGUAGAGAACAAAAAGAAUAUCAGAAUCUCACCUAACAGAUGCAUGGAUAAUUUUGCCAUUCCUUGUAAAUGCAGACGUGGAUGAUCGUUUUUCAAUUAAACCUUGUUGAAUUUCUCAGAGUUCCAACUCUGCAUUACA